rnacentral:rRNA from 1 species
GCAGCCUGCAACUCGGCUGCAUGAAGCUGGAAUCGCUAGUAAUCGCGGAUCAGAAUGCCGCGGUGAAUACGUUCCCGGGUCUUGUACACACCGCCCGUCACACCAUGGGAGUCGGGAAUGCCCGAAGUCAGUGACCCAACCGGAAAGGGGGGAGCUGCCGAAGGCAGGCCUGGUAACUGGGGUGAAGUCGUAACAAGGUACC